AGCCAGUCGGGAGCCUGUCUAUGCAGAUGUACCGGCUCUGCAGUGGCUUCCAUCACCAGCCUGCGCAUGCGUGCUCCUGGAAGACCCAGCGGCACCGCCUCUACUUCCGAUUGGCUCCGCGUGAGGGGCCGACCUCUGAAAAUAUCACGGCGGAGCGCCUCCGGCGACGCCACGGCGGGCGCCUCCGGCGACGUCACGGCGGGCGCCUCCGGUGACGUCACGGCGCACGGAGACGGGCCUCUGGCGACGUCACAGAGGCAAGCCUUAGGCGACUUCACGCGGAGGUGUGUUGCCUAGGAGCUGUGUUGUCUUCUCCCCAGAGCAGAGUCCGGUAACCUCCACCUUCCGCUGCGUCCUGUGUGCUGCUGGCUGGAGAAGGAGACGGGGUCUUGCUCUUUUGCUGUGGUGUCAUCUUGGAUCACUGCAACCUCCACCUCUUGGGUUCAAGUGAUUCUCCUGCCUUAGCCUCCUGAGUAGCUUGGACUACAGGCACGUGCCACCACAUCCAGCUAAUUUUUAUAUUUUUAGUAGCGAUGCGGUUUCACCAUUUUGGCAGAGAUCUUCUUGAUCUCUUGACCUCAUUAUCCACCUGCCUUAGCCUCUCAAAAUGCUGUGAUUACAGAUGUGAGCCACCACACUUGCCCUGAGCUCAUUUUUUUAGCUGUAAAAUAAGAAUAACAAUUGUACUAAUCUAAAAAGACAGCUUGUUGUAUUGUCUUUUAUUUUUUAUGAAACUGUCUUUAACACAGUAAUUAUUUUCUUUGCCAUGCCACAUUUGUUUUUGUUUUGUCUUUGUUUUUCUUUUAGAUGGAGUCUGUUUUGUUUUGUUUUGUUUUUGUUUUCUUGAGAUGGAGUCGCUGUUGUAGCCCAGGCUGGAGUGCAGUGGCAUGAUCUUGGCUCAUCCUGUAUCAUACCCACAGAGACCCUUUUUUUCUCCAGGACCUUGGAAGCAGCCAGGUUCCAUGAGUUAAAUGCAGAUCUGAACCAUACUGAGCUGGGAUUAAAGUACACACCCUCCUCUUCUGAAAAGUAGCUAAGGAUUCCAACUUGUUGUAGUGGAGAGUGUGGCAGAGCCGGACCAGACAAGGACUGAUCACAUGGAAAAGCAUGUUGUCAAAGGCCUUGGUGAGUGCUGAGUGCCAUAGCUCACACCUGUAAUCCCAGCACUUUGGGAAGCUGAGACAGGUGGAUCGCUUGAGGCCAGGAGUUUGAGUAGAGCCUGGGCAACAUGGCAAAACCUGUUUCUACUAAAAACACAAAAAUUAGCCAGGUGUGUUUUGAGAUGGAGUCUGGCUCUCUCACCCAGGCUGGAGUGCAGUGGCACAAUCUUGGCUCACUACAACCUCUGCCUUCCCCUCUUCAGGUUCAAAUCGUUCCCAUGUCUUAUCCUUCCAAGUAACUGAGAUUACAGGCAUGUGUCAUGCCACCACACCAGCUAGGUUUUUUGCAGAGACAGGGUUUCACCAUGUUGACCAGGCUGGUCUCGAACUUCUGAUCUCAAGUGAUCUGCCCACUUUGACCUCCCAAAAUGCUGGGAUUAUAGGCAUGAACCACUGCACCCAGCCCCUUCAGGUGGGUUUUGAGGCUUCACUACGAUACUAGUUUCCUGUUUCUGCUGCAACAAAUUACCACACACUUAGGGCUUAAAACAACAUAGACGUAGCUGGGCAUGGUAACUCACGCCUGUAAUCCACUUUGGGAGGCUGAGGCGGGCGGAUCACCUGAGGUUGGGAGUUCGAGACCAGCCUGACCAACAUGGAGAAACUCCACCUCUAAUAAAAAUAUAAAAAUAGCUGGGUGUGGUAGUGCAUGCCUGUAAUCCCAGCUACUCAGGAGGCUGAGGCAGGAGAAUUGUUUCUACCUGGAAGGUGGAGGUUGCAGUGAGCCGAGAUUGUGCCAUCACACUCCAGCCUAAGUAAAAAGAGGGGAACUCUGUCUGGGAAAAAAACAAAACAAAAAAAAAGCAACACAGAUGUAUUCGCUUAUAGUUCUAAAGGCCAGAAUUCUAAAGUCGGUCCCACUGACUCAAGGUGGGAGCAGGGCAGGUACCUUCCCAGGCUCUGAAGGAGAAUGAGUUUCUGGCCCUGGAGGCUUCCUGGAAUCCUCAGCUUGUGCUGCCCUUCUUGAAUGACUCGAGGUUCCUGCUUCCAUCACUACGCUUCCCAUCGCUCUCCAUCACCUGCUCUGCUCUGGUAAGGAUCUGGGCUGGCUGCAGUCUUCGUUCCCUGCAACAUUUGUCUCCUGGGUUCAAGUGAUUCUUCUACCUCAGCCUCCUGAGUACCUGGGACUACAGGUGCCUGCCACCAUGUCUGGUUAAGUUUUGUAUUUUUGGAUGAGAUGGGCACAUGGAGGGGGUAGUGGAAGGUGGGGGAGGGGACGGAAGUUUCUGCUAUGUUGCCCUCAGCUCAAAGCGAUCCACUUACCUCUGCUCCCUAAGUGCUAGGAUUACAGGCCUACAUCACCUCACUGGCUGCUGUAAAGUCUUAUUUCCA